rnacentral:rRNA from 1 species
AUUGAACGCUGGCGGCAGGCCUAACACAUGCAAGUCGAACGAGCGGCGGACGGGUGAGUAAUGUCUGGGAAACUGCCAGAUGGAGGGGGAUAACUACUGGAAACGGUAGCUAAUACCGCAUACCAUCGGAUGUGCCCAGAUGGGAUUAGCUAGUAGGUGGGGUAACGGCUCACCUAGGCGACGAUCCCUAGCUGGUCUGAGAGGAUGACCAGCCAAACUGGAACUGAGACACGGCCCAGACUCCUCCGGGAGGCAGCAGUGGGGAAUAUUGCACAAUGGGGGCAAGCCUGAUGCAGACAUGCCGCGGGUAUGAGGAAGGCCUUCGGGUUGUAAAGUACUUUCAGCGAGGAGGCGUUACUCGCAGAAGAAGCACCGGCUAACUCCGUGCCAGCCGCCGCGGUAAUUC